GUUAGGUUGAUGUAAAUUGCCUUGCAUCAACCUAUUGUCAACGUAUCUACACUCAAAUUUCUCUCUGGCCAAUUAUCUGAGCGCAGCGAAGAAGUACGGGAUCUUGCUCCAAAUCUACACCUGUUAUAUUUUGAAGGGGAAUGACUGGAUCAGCUUUCAAGCACCCACUUCCAGAAAGCUGUGUAUUUGGGACCAUGGUGUUUUUGCCACAGUGUCUUGCUAAUCUUCUCUGUAUGCUCCUGGAUGGCUUGGCCAUGCCUUCCCAUUGCACCUGGCCUGGAUCUGAUCUGAUAUAAAUGGAGACUUGUUCAACUUAA